GGGUUGUGAGGUUAAGCGACUAAGCGUACACGGUGGAUGCCCUGGCAGUCAGAGGCGAUGAAGGACGUGCUAAUCUGCGAUAAGCGUCGGUAAGGUGAUAUGAACCGUUAUAACCGGCGAUUUCCGAAUGGGGAAACCCAGUGUGUUUCGACACACUAUCAUUAACUGAAUCCAUAGGUUAAUGAGGCGAACCGGGGGAACUGAAACAUCUAAGUACCCCGAGGAAAAGAAAUCAACCGAGAUUCCCCCAGUAGCGGCGAGCGAACGGGGAGCAGCCCAGAGCCUGAAUCAGUAUGUGUGUUAGUGGAAGCGUCUGGAAAGGCGCGCGAUACAGGGUGACAGCCCCGUACACAAAAAUGCACAUGCUGUGAGCUCGAUGAGUAGGGCGGGACACGUGGUAUCCUGUCUGAAUAUGGGGGGACCAUCCUCCAAGGCUAAAUACUCCUGACUGACCGAUAGUGAACCAGUACCGUGAGGGAAAGGCGAAAAGAACCCCGGCGAGGGGAGUGAAAAAGAACCUGAAACCGUGUACGUACAAGCAGUGGGAGCACGCUUAGGCGUGUGACUGCGUACCUUUUGUAUAAUGGGUCAGCGACUUAUAUUCUGUAGCAAGGUUAACCGAAUAGGGGAGCCGAAGGGAAACCGAGUCUUAACUGGGCGUUAAGUUGCAGGGUAUAGACCCGAAACCCGGUGAUCUAGCCAUGGGCAGGUUGAAGGUUGGGUAACACUAACUGGAGGACCGAACCGACUAAUGUUGAAAAAUUAGCGGAUGACUUGUGGCUGGGGGUGAAAGGCCAAUCAAACCGGGAGAUAGCUGGUUCUCCCCGAAAGCUAUUUAGGUAGCGCCUCGUGAAUUCAUCUCCGGGGGUAGAGCACUGUUUCGGCAAGGGGGUCAUCCCGACUUACCAACCCGAUGCAAACUGCGAAUACCGGAGAAUGUUAUCACGGGAGACACACGGCGGGUGCUAACGUCCGUCGUGAAGAGGGAAACAACCCAGACCGCCAGCUAAGGUCCCAAAGUCAUGGUUAAGUGGGAAACGAUGUGGGAAGGCCCAGACAGCCAGGAUGUUGGCUUAGAAGCAGCCAUCAUUUAAAGAAAGCGUAAUAGCUCACUGGUCGAGUCGGCCUGCGCGGAAGAUGUAACGGGGCUAAACCAUGCACCGAAGCUGCGGCAGCGACGCUGAUGCGUUGUUGGGUAGGGGAGCGUUCUGUAAGCCUGCGAAGGUGUGCUGUGAGGCAUGCUGGAGGUAUCAGAAGUGCGAAUGCUGACAUAAGUAACGAUAAAGCGGGUGAAAAGCCCGCUCGCCGGAAGACCAAGGGUUCCUGUCCAACGUUAAUCGGGGCAGGGUGAGUCGACCCCUAAGGCGAGGCCGAAAGGCGUAGUCGAUGGGAAACAGGUUAAUAUUCCUGUACUUGGUGUUACUGCGAAGGGGGGACGGAGAAGGCUAUGUUGGCCGGGCGACGGUUGUCCCGGUUUAAGCGUGUAGGCUGGUUUUCCAGGCAAAUCCGGAAAACUAAGGCUGAGGCGUGAUGACGAGGCACUACGGUGCUGAAGCAACAAAUGCCCUGCUUCCAGGAAAAGCCUCUAAGCAUCAGGUAACAUCAAAUCGUACCCCAAACCGACACAGGUGGUCAGGUAGAGAAUACCAAGGCGCUUGAGAGAACUCGGGUGAAGGAACUAGGCAAAAUGGUGCCGUAACUUCGGGAGAAGGCACGCUGAUAUGUAGGUGAAGUCCCUCGCGGAUGGAGCUGAAAUCAGUCGAAGAUACCAGCUGGCUGCAACUGUUUAUUAAAAACACAGCACUGUGCAAACACGAAAGUGGACGUAUACGGUGUGACGCCUGCCCGGUGCCGGAAGGUUAAUUGAUGGGGUCAGCGCAAGCGAAGCUCUUGAUCGAAGCCCCGGUAAACGGCGGCCGUAACUAUAACGGUCCUAAGGUAGCGAAAUUCCUUGUCGGGUAAGUUCCGACCUGCACGAAUGGCGUAAUGAUGGCCAGGCUGUCUCCACCCGAGACUCAGUGAAAUUGAACUCGCUGUGAAGAUGCAGUGUACCCGCGGCAAGACGGAAAGACCCCGUGAACCUUUACUAUAGCUUGACACUGAACAUUGAGCCUUGAUGUGUAGGAUAGGUGGGAGGCUUUGAAGUGUGGACGCCAGUCUGCAUGGAGCCGACCUUGAAAUACCACCCUUUAAUGUUU
rnacentral:rRNA from 1 species